UUGUUGUUCGUUAUUGUUUUUAUUGUUGUUGCGGUGCUGUCGUUAUUAUUGUUGUAGUUGUGGAGUUGUUGUGGUGAUUAUGGUGGAUGUUGUUGGGUUGUUGUGGUUAUGAUCGAUGUUGUAUAACUGGUUGUUCAAGGGAAAUUAUAUGAGGGUGAGUUUUGAUAUCGUAUAGAUGAGAAUCUGGGUUGUCAAAGUUGUAGAGAUUAGAAAUCUUAUGAGAAGUUUGUAAUGAGGUAUGGAUUAUUGGCUUAUAUCGGCAAGUAAACUAAUAUGUUUGAUUCCUAAGGGAAUGUUAGUAAACUAAUGAAUAGGUUGCUUUUAGGAAGUUCAUUAGUUGGUCUGUAUAGGUGAUGUUGUUGAAUAGUUGCUAAUUAGUGCUAUUGUUGGUGAGGUGAUUCUUGGAGGAUGAUUUUGGAGAUGAAGAUUAUUGAAGGUGUUGUUGGAUUUGGAUUGCGAUUCAGGUUUGGUAUCAAAGGCUCGGAAUUGGAAGUGGAGCAAGAUCAAGGUGUCAUAGUGGCUUAGUUACAAGCUUGUAAUUUAGAUAGUUGGUUUGAGAAUAGUUAUUGAUAUUUUCGAUGUAUAAUAUUUGGGAAUCUAGUUGAGAUAA